rnacentral:ncRNA from 1 species
AGAACUGAUAAUCUGAUGGAUGGAAUGAUGGGGUAACGCCCGGAGGCAUCCACACUAAUACUACGACAGGCGUGUUUCUUCGGAAACGGGUCUGAAGCUCGUUGAAGUCGGCUGAAGGAAACCUAAGUCACUUUGGUGAUAUGGCAACUGAUAGGCCGGGUGUCCUA